CCUACGGGAGGCUGCAGUGAGGAAUAUUGGGCAAUGGGGGCAACCCUGACCCAGCCAUGCCGCGUGAGUGAAGAAGGUCUUCUGAUUUUUAAGCUCUUUCUGACGUGACGAUAAUGCCGGUAGCUUCUCAAGAAGCACCGUCAAACUCCGUGCCAGCAGCCGCGGUAAUACGAAGGCUGCGAGCGUUGUUCGGAAUUACUGGGCGUAAGGGGAGUGUAGGCGGUUGUGUAAGUUAGAGGUGAAAUGCCGGGGCUCAACCUCGGAACUGCCACUAUGACUAUGUAUCUAGAGAAAUGGCGCGGAUAGCGGAAUGUCUGGUGUAGAGGUGAAAUUCGUAGAGAUCGGACAGAACACCGAUGGCGAAGGCAGCUAUC
rnacentral:rRNA from 1 species